AGUGAACGCUGGCGGUAGGCCUAACACAUGCAAGUCGAACGGCCGCACAGUAAGAGCUUGCUCUUACGGGUGGCGAGUGGCGGACGGGUGAGGAAUACAUCGGAAUCUACUUUUUCGUGGGGGAUAACGUAGGGAAACUUACGCUAAUACCGCAUACUACCUACGGGUGAAAGCAGGGGAUCUUCGGACCUUUCGCGAUUGAAUGAGCCGAUGUCGGAUUAGCUAGUUGGCGGGGUAAAGGCCCACCAAGGCGACGAUCCGUAGCUGGUCUGAGAGGAUGAUCAGCCACACUGGAACUGAGACACGGUCCAGACUCCUACGGGAGGCAGCAGUGGGGAAUAUUGGACAAUGGGCGCAAGCCUGAUCCAGCCAUACCGCGUGGGUGAAGAAGGCCUUCGGGUUGUAAAGCCCUGUUGUUGGGAAAGAAAAGCAGCAGGUUAAUACCCCGCUGUUCUGACGGUACCCAAAGAAUAAGCACCGGCUAACUUCGUG
rnacentral:rRNA from 1 species